rnacentral:rRNA from 1 species
UACAGAGGUCUCGAGCGUUAGGCGGAAUCACUGGGCUUAAAGCGUGUGUAGGCGGAUCGUUAAGUACCUUGUGAAAUCCCACAGCUUAACCGUGGAACUGCUUGGUAUACUGGCGGUCUUGAGCCAGCUAGGGGCUACCGGAACAAAUGGUGGAGCGGUGAAAUGCGUAGAUAUCAUUUGGAACGCCAAUGGUGAAAACAGGUAGCUGGGGCUGUGCUGACGCUGAGACACGAAAGCCAGGGGAGCAAACGGG